rnacentral:lncRNA from 1 species
CCCAGCCCUGGAUUUGAAAACUUUGGCCCAACUUGUGGCAAUAGCUACAACUUUGCUCCGCAGGGGUCAGAGGUGAGGGCUAUUUUAACCCUAAAAGCCUGCGAGUGACCAAGGUUGCGGCUGGGCUCGCAGCACUAAUAGCCAUAAUUACCUCCUCCCCUUCCAGGGACAUUCCUCGCAGCAGCAGUGUUAGACGCCGAAUUGAAGAAAAUCCUGGAGUUGAACAUAUCUUCGGGGUUUUAGUUUCAGACCUGUCCUAAUCCUGUGGUGGUGGCAAGAGGUGCAUCAGGAGGGGAAUAUUGAGGGAAUGCUGCUCGGGACGUGUUUGAAGCAAUCAAAGGGUUGAAAGAUUGAUUCGGCAUGUAGAUUGGAUUUAAUUCGAAGCAGCUUUGUUCUAAUGAGGACUACUGGGAUACAAAGACGGCAGCCGCUUAUGGCCACCAGUUGGGAACUUCCACUGGCUGCAGCAACCUGUCAAGAAUUCCAAGAAACUGCCAGGGUAAAAUUGCCUGCAGGGUCCGUUUGCUGAAGCCUGCUAAUUCCUCCUGAGGUCAGUGGGUACCGGGUGCUGGGCAGCACAGCCUCUCCUGGCCGGGCACAGUGGGCUCCGGCUGCUUCCCAAGAGACAGGGACAGUCAUGAAGAACGUGGGAUUUCCCACAGGAAUUUGGAAGAUGCCCAUGUCUAAGAUAAUGGUGAGGAUUGGGCCCAAAUCCAGAUCCAGCCUUGAUUCCUUCAUCCAAGUAACCCUGUGCUGACCCACGGCUGCUGAGGGAUCGCAGCGGCGUGGACCUUCCUCCCUCCCUCCUCGCUGCCCUGCAUCAGAUCACCAGGAGGACCUGAGAGUACUGUGAGUAAGAGAUACAUUUUUUUCUCACACAAACAAUUCAUUGCAAAACUUCAGAUUUUGAA